UACGUAGGGGGCAAGCGUUGUCCGGAAUCAUUGGGCGUAAAGAGCGUGUAGGCGGCCAGAUAAGUCCGCUGUGAAAUCUCGAGGCUCAACUUCGAGCUGUCGGUGGAAACUGUCUGGCUAGAGUCCGGAAGAGGAGAAUGGAAUUCCUGGUGUAGCGGUGAAAUGCGCAGAUAUCAGGAGGAACACCGGUGGCGAAGGCGGUCAUCUGGGCCAGUACUGACGCUGAGGAGCGAAAGCGUGGGGAGCGAACAGG
rnacentral:rRNA from 1 species